AGUGAACGCUGGCGGUAGGCCUAACACAUGCAAGUCGAACGGCAGCACAGUAAGAGCUUGCUCUUACGGGUGGCGAGUGGCGGACGGGUGAGGAAUACAUCGGAAUCUACUUUUUCGUGGGGGAUAACGUAGGGAAACUUACGCUAAUACCGCAUACGACCUACGGGUGAAAGCAGGGGAUCUUCGGACCUUGCGCGAUUGAAUGAGCCGAUGUCGGGUUAGCUAGUUGGCGGGGUAAAGGCCCACCAAGGCGGCGAUCCGUAGCUGGUCUGAGAGGAUGAUCAGCCACACUGGAACUGAGACACGGUCCAGACUCCUACGGGAGGCAGCAGUGGGGAAUAUUGGACAAUGGGCGCAAGCCUGAUCCAGCCAUACCGCGUGGGUGAAGAAGGCCUUCGGGUUGUAAAGCCCUUUUGUUGGGAAAGAAAAGCAGCAGGUUAAUACCCCGCUGUUCUGACGGUACCCAAAGAAUAAGCACCGGCUAACUUCGUG
rnacentral:rRNA from 1 species